UACGUAGGGACCGAGCGUUGUCCGGAAUCAUUGGGCGUAAAGAGCGUGUAGGCGGCCUUUUAAGUCCUGCGUGAAAUCCUGCGGCUCAACCGCAGACGGUCGUGGGAAACUGGAAGGCUAGAGUGCGGGAGAGGAGAGUGGAAUUCCCGGUGUAGCGGUGAAAUGCGCAGAUAUCGGGAAGAACACCCGUGGCGAAGGCGGCUACCUGGCCUGUAACUGACGCUGAGACGCGAAAGCGUGGGGAGCGAACCGG
rnacentral:rRNA from 1 species